CAAUAAGAACACUGAGCAUGUGGCAGCUUCACAUUCCUUAUUGUCCUCCCAAGCUCACCCAUUGGCUACAGACUGUGAGAAACUCCAACAAGCCCAAGACACACACUUUCAUAUGGAGAUUAGGGACUAUAUAUAGGAGAGGUGAAGCCAGUAGAAAUAACUCUACACAGAGACCUCUACAGCACAGGGAUCCAGCCAUGGAGCCUACAAUCACUUCAGCAAUGAUCUACUAUAAGGACCACCUGACUGACCAAAAAGAAAGACAGUGGUGGGGAAGUUAUUCAGAGAUCGUAUCAACAGCAGCAUUGAGCGGCUCAAGUCUCUCCUGGGUCCAGAGAUCCUCAAUCAGCAAAACAACUUCAAGUUGGAGAAAGAAGACAUCCUAGAAAUGAGUUUGCUUCCUGAGAGGACGGCAACACAUCCAGCGAGUGAGCUCCUCCUCAUGCUCAGCACCUGUCAAUCAGGGUUACUCCAGAUGUGUCCAAGAGAUUGUACACUUCUUGUCCAAGGAUGAGGUGAAGACACAUCCCAGAGAAGAUUGCUGAGCCACUUCCAGAUACUUCAGCCAUCCUCUGAUAAGAACAGAAGGGAGAGUGACCUGCCUCAGGCAACAGCAAAGAGAAGAGUCCAGUCAGCAGCGUCCAUUGGAGGCCCUGGUAGAGUCCUACAGACUGGAGCUCCACUCAUAGAGAAAACCUAUGGAUCACGUUGGUCUAAGAAUAAUGGCAUUAUUGUCAUGGACACGAAUGAAAAUAGGAAGAGAUCUUCUUUAUCUUCUGCUCAUGCAGGAGUUUCUAAAAGUCUUGCUCUGAUUGAGACUGUUCAUUUCAGUUUUACUGAAGAAGUUUUUCUAAGAAAAUGAUCCAUACUAUGAAAACUACAUUUUUGUAGUGUGAUGGUUUUAUAUAAUGAAUAACCUUUAUGUUUUCUAAAGUGUGUUGAUUAUGUUGAAUGGUUGUUCAUGAGCAACAUCAACUUUAAAAGUCCUCUAUGACUUUUACACAAACUUUUGGUGAUUGUCUAAUGAUCUGUUUUAAGGUCAAAUCUUAGAGAAUAAGCAAUUGUUUCCACUACAUUUGUGUACUGAUAUAGUUUUAUUUACAUUGUAUUGAGCAUCUUAUAUGAAACAUGUAUUAGUUAUCCAUUUGAUAAUGAUGGACCUAAGCUACAGCAUCACUGUUCCUCCAUGAUGAUUAUUUAGCCAAGCUGGGUAUUAUACCUGUAAUCAUCACUCUGUGAUAAGCAAUACUCUGAUUUAAGAUCAAACUUGUCAAUUUUAUUUCAUGAUGUUUUGUGAUAUGAUAAAACAUGAUAAAACAUUACCGGAAUGUGUCUAUUGCAGAUUGAUGAAAGCUGUCUCCAAACUCUUGUUUAUUAUCAACAAUCCAGUGUGUCUUUUGUAAAGACAGUAAAUGUAGCCUAUAUCCCCCAUACUAUUGUCUGGCAGCCCAUACUCUGUCAGAGUAAGACUUGGAGAUUUAUCCAAGUUCUGUUAGUGAUGUUUAAUCACUUUGCACAACUCAUUGAGUAAAUUUUUUAUAAAUACAAAGUCAACCAAAUUAAAAAAAAAAUA
rnacentral:lncRNA from 1 species